rnacentral:tRNA from 1 species
GGUAAGAUGGCUGAGGUUAAGCGGUGGAUUGUAGCCCCACAUACAGAGGUUUGAGUCCUCUUCUUAUCA